rnacentral:rRNA from 1 species
CUCCAACCCCUGUGACAUACCUUAAUGUUGCCUCGGCGGAUCAGCCCGCGCCCCGUAAAACGGGACGGCCCGCCAGAGGACCCAAACUCUAAUGUUUCUUAUUGUAACUUCUGAGUAAAACAAACAAAUAAAUCAAAACUUUCAACAACGGAUCUCUUGGUUCUGGCAUCGAUGAAGAACGCAGCAAAAUGCGAUAAGUAAUGUGAAUUGCAGAAUUCAGUGAAUCAUCGAAUCUUUGAACGCACAUUGCGCCCGCUGGUAUUCCGGCGGGCAUGCCUGUUCGAGCGUCAUUUCAACCCUCAAGCCCCCGGGUUUGGUGUUGGGGAUCGGCUCUGCCUUCUGGCGGUGCCGCCCCCGAAAUACAUUGGCGGUCUCGCUGCAGCCUCCAUUGCGUAGUAGCUAACACCUCGCAACUGGAACGCGGCGCGGCCAUGCCGUAAAACCCCAACUUCUGAAUGUUGACCUCGGAUCAGGUAGGAAUACCCGCUGAACUUAAGCAUAU